rnacentral:lncRNA from 1 species
CAAAAUAUAGCUAGCUCUCUCUCCAUUCCUUCUUCUUCAUUUUUGAUGACAUUAAUUUGUCUUAAGCUAUUGUCUUUCUCUCUCUUUGAGUCAACUACUCACCAACUAUUCUGAUAAAUUGAAGGACGUCCUCCCGAAGUUGUCAUAAUUACUGUGUAAGUCUAUGGAAGGGGGUGAGAACCAUGAGCCUCCUAGGUUUUGUAUUGAAAUCAAUGUACCCCGAGGAGGACUGAAACUAGCUGUCCUCCAGCUACACCAUGGUGCUACCCUACAGAGUGCCGUUGACGCUUCUGUAGACCUUCUUUGCAAAACAGUGUGUUUUAAUCAAUUAUUUGAUGACGUUAAUAUAUUUAGUAUAGUUUUAUCUAAAAAGGAUAACUUUACAUUUUUCACUUUUUAUUUUUAUGAAAUUCACUGAGGACGAUGGACCUCCCCUUCCUCCUCUGAGGAGCCUCUACUGAAAUACAUGUACCAUUUUCUUUUGUUAAUCUCUGCACGUUUAUCAUCUGAUCUCUUAGAGCCUGGUAGAGAUAGAUAUGCAACCAUACUACAAGUCAGGACAUUUCUCUGCAUCCAGGCUGAGGCUUGCUACCAGCAGGAACAUGGAACACUCCAUGUCACUAAGUCAUGAAAUGUUUGUUUUUCUUUAUAUUGCAUGAUACUAGGCCCUGGGCCAGUAGGAAGUCUCUCUUUCUAGCACACUCACUAACUCUCUCCGUCUAUCUCCAGGUGCUACAGAGACCAAAUGGUAUUCCAGAGCCAUCUGACCGACUACCUGCGAUCACUCCAGAGCACAGAGAUGUGAGUCUGCUAGGCUACAGAACUUUAGAGCAGCACAUCAAAACAUCUGCCACCCUGUCGUCAGCUGUCUGCAGACAGUUCCCUGAAGUAGGAUGCAACUAUCAAGGCUUUCAAAGGCUACAUUUGGGGAAUUACCAAAUGCAAUACAAUGUUGUAUAAACAACUUUUUUUUAAUUAUUAGAUUACAAAACAAUAACUUUUUCAUGGCAUGUAUGUCACAUUGUUCUUCACAAUAACUUUUACUAACUUCUGUGGUAACUUAAACACAAAGACAUCCCUUAGAGCUCAUGAUGAAAAAGGACUAAAAAUGUGUAUUAUGUCCAGGGUGAAUAUUUUUAUAUUUAUGUAAACCAGACACAUCACAGAGGUGUCAACUAAAACAUAUACAGUUGAAGUCGGAAGUUUACAUACACUUAGGUUGGAGUCAUUAAAACUCGUUUUUCAACCACUUCACAAUUUCUUGUUUACAAACUAUAGUUUUGCCUAGUCGGUUAGGACAUCUACUUUGUGCAUGACACAGUAAUUUUUCCAACAAUCGUUUUACAUUCAGAUUAUGUCACUAAUAAUUCACUGUAUCACAAUUCCAGUGGGUCAGACAUUUACAUACACUAAGUUGACUGUGCCUUUAAACAGCUGGGAAAAUUCCAGGCUUUAGAAGCUUCUGAUUGGCUAAUUGACAUAAUUUGAGUCAUUUGGAGGUGUACCUGUGGAUGUAUUUCAAGGCCUACCUUCAAACUCAGUGCCUCUUUGCUUGAAUCAUGGGAAAAUCAAAAGAAAUCAGACAAGACCUCAGACAAAAAAAAUUGUAGACCUCCACAAGUCUGGUUCACCCUUGGGAGCAAUUUCCUAAUGCCUGAAGGUACCACCUUCAUCUCUACAAACAAUAGUACGCAAGUGCAAACACCAUGGGAUCACGCAGCCGUCAUAUGACUCAGGAAGGAGACGCGUUCUGUCUCCUAGAGAUGAACGUACUUUUGUGCAAAAGUGCAAAUCAAUCCCAGAACAACAACAAAGGACCAUGUGAAGAUGUUGGAGAAAACAGGUACAAAAGUAUCUAUAUCCACAGUAAAACGAGUUCUAUAUAAACAUAACCUGAAAGGCCGCUCAGCAAAGAAGAAGCCACUGCUCCAAAACCGCCAUAAAAAAGCCAGACUACGGUUUGCAACUGUACAUGGGGACAAAGAUCGUACUUUUUGGAGAAAAAUCCUCUGGUCUGAUGAAACAAAAAUAGAACUGUUUGGCAAUAAUGACCAUCGUUAUAUUUGAAGGAAAAAUUGUGAGGCUUGCAAGCCGAAGAAGCCAGCAUCAUGUUGUGGGGGUGGCAUCAUCAUGUUGUUGGGUUGCUUUGCUGCAGGAGGGACUGGUGCACUUCACAAAAUAGAUGGCACCAUGAGGGAGGACAAUUAUGUGGAUAUAUUGAAGCAACUUCUCAAGACAUAAGUCAGGAAAUUAAAGCUUGGUCGCAAAUGGAUCUUCCAAAUGGACAAUGACCCCAAGCAUACUUCCAAAGUUGUGACAAAAUGGCUUAAGGACGAAAAAGUCAAGGUAUUGGAGUGGCCAUCACCAAGCCCUGACCUCAAUCCUAUAGAAAAUUUGUGGGCAGAACUGAAAAAGCGUGUGCGAGCAAGGAGGCCUACAAACCUGACUCAGUUACACCAGCUCUGUCAGGAGGAAUGGGCCAAAAUUCACCCAGCUUAUUGUGGGAAGCGUGUGAAGGCUACCUGAAAUGUUUGACACAAGUUAAACAAUUUAAAGGCAAUGCUACUAAAUACUAAUUGAGUGUAUGUAAACUUCUGACCCACUGUUAAUGUGAUGAAAUGAAUAAAUGCUGAAAUAAAUCACUCUCUCAACUAUUAUUCUGACUUUUCACAUUCUUAAAAUAAAGUGGUGAUCCUAACUAACCUAAGACAGGGAAUAUUUACUAGGAUUCAAUGUCAGGUUUUGUGAAAAACUGAGUUUAAAUGUAUUUGGCUAAGGUGUAUGUAAACUUCUGACUUCAACUGUAUAUCCCAGAUAAGAUUGAAAGUAGACAAAAUGAAUAUAAGUCGGUGAUUGCGUCCUUAUCAGUUUGUGUGGUUACAUACAAUACAUGUUGACAGAACAGCUGUGAGACAGAGAGUGUUCCUGUACUCCCAGUACACUG